ACCGCGGGCGCCUGGACAUAUAAACAUUUGCUCUAACUGUUGCCAUGUCGGUAUACACGACUGGUUAUUAACCGUGUUUAUGCCAAAAAUAGAGCUCUGUUGUCCAAGAAAACUGUGAUCAUGAAGGCUGAAAGAUUCAGAAAUAGGAAUGGCAGAAUAUAAACGGAAUAUUCGCGCCACGACGCUAUGAUAAGAGGCGCGUACUCUGAAAAGUACAAGUCCAUUCAGAGUGAACAGUUGGAAAAGUUGAAAGAGCAAACACGGCCGGAAAGUGAGGAGUUGCGGGAUAGGGCUAGGCAGCUGUCACGGGAGACCAACAAGAGGCGAAAGAAUCUAGAAGAGAAGAAGAAGCAGAAAGAAGCAGCAGAAGAAAGGGAGCGAGCAGCUAUCCUUGCUGAGAGACACAACCAGAAGGAGGAAGCAACUAGAAAGUUCCAGAAGGAUGGUCUCAAGAAGAAGACACCUCCAGAAAGCAGUGUACACAGCAACACAGAUUCACAGCAAAGUCAACAUAGUGAUGGCAGAAUAUCACAGUUGCAGAAUGGUGUGAUACCUACUGUUCCAGCACUUGAAGAUGCUCUAGAACUGAUCAAUAACCCUGAAGCAUUUGACAACUACAUGCACUAUAGAAGCCAGUUCAUUGCACCUUCUUCAGAUAACAGUCUCGGUAGAAGCCAUUAUGGACAAGGGUAUGAAAUGAAUAAUGGUUAUGGACUGUGUGAAACUGGUCGUGGCCUAGGUAAAACAGGUUAUGGACCUGAUAAUCCAGUGUACGAUAUAGGUUAUAAUGGACCUGGACAGAUGAAUACUGGAUACGGACCAGUUACUGCUGGGUAUCCAGGAAACUAUUCCCAACACUAUAACGAGCAAGCUUAUCACCUCCAAAACAACAAUGUUUGCAUAGAGGACGAGAACGCACAAAAGAGAGAAGAAGAAGAGAGACUCAGACAGGAUGUCAUACACAAUGCGGCUCCGAAACUUGCAUUCAUGGACGACAAUGAUGAAUGCACGGAUGGAGCGCUGCCAUCCACCAUGGGGCAUGAGUCACCGGCUGGAAGUCUAACUAGUCUGGAUAGUCUAGACGAAGUACUGCCGGAUGCUACGACAACCUCAAAAAGACUAACACAGAAGCCUACCACACCUGUCACAGGUAUUAUCAACAAGAGGUCAAAGGUGGCGUCCGCAGGACGCCGCAAGGUCACAUUUUCUGACAGUAUCGAAUUUGAUGAUGGCCUUACUGGUCAGUUGGUGACCAUUGAGAAGGAGAGCUGUAAGAAUUAUGUGAACUUGUAUAAUAGCCGCAUAGCUGCAGCCAAUGCUGCGCAGAACACCGUCCCACCAGUUGUGUCAGGUCCGGGUGUUGCCACUCCUGCAGCGCAGGCUGCUUCGAAAGCAGUAUCUGGAAUCCAGGGACAAAGCCUCAAUGUAGUUGGAAGACCAGACAACAAAAACAACAACUCGGUCCAUAGCCCAAGUCCAGGAAAGAGCACCAGUAUGGUAGUCCCAAAGUCUGUGUACUCGCAAAUCAAGCCGCAGAAUGACGAAAAGGGCGCGAAGAAGCAACCCCCUGCACCUAUGCAUGUAGUGACUUGUGGUGAAUCUACGCCCUCUGCUGUUACCCACACCGAGCGUCCCUUACAAGGUAUAGCAGCACCUCACCCUACAAGUAGAGCGGCGUAUAUUACAAACAGCCCUCAGGUGACCACUACAAAUGCAGCUUAUGGUUUUAAUAGAGGUACCGCACCCCAGAUGCCAAGCACGACUAUUGGAGGUCGACAUGAUCAAGCUGGGGGUGGCGGUGGGAUACCCCCAAAUGCUUAUUAUGGUCAUUUAUCCAGCUUAAAUAUUGCUGAUCAGCGUGGAAGGGCGCAUCAAUAUCAACUCUUUGAAGGACCUCCAAUGCAAAGUCCUGGAUCUAACACUGCCCAGCAGGGCACCAAAGUCGAGAAUGCUGAAAAUCAUAGACAUGAGAUGAAGCAUCAGGAUUCUAUUGCUUUGACUUCAGAGCGGUAUAACUCUACGAACCAUAACAAGGGAUUAAACGAUAGUUUAGAGCAAGAGGAUUCUCCCGAAGGUGUCUCGCCAGACUCGGUGGACAGUCUUGACAACAUGUGCGAUAGCCUGGAUGAUGAAGAAAGUGAUACUUGCGAAUAUGAGAAGGAAGCAGUGAAUGGUCAGAUAGUCAACAUGAUGAAUGGUAAACAAGGAGAAGUUCUCAAAGAGGACAACCCCGACUCACCGCGCAGUGUAGAAACGGCAGACUCUGGUAUCGAUUACUACGGCAAGCCAGCGAUCAUUUACCAUCAUCCAUUUGGCGGCAAGAUAACUAAUACUCACCAACCGCAUGCCUAUACUAUAGAGCCAAGGGAUUCUGGGUUAACAACCCUGUCAGGCAAAGCGAAACCUCCUGACCAGCCUGCAAAAUCGGACGGCGCCCUUGGUCAGCUAGCAGAAGACCCUCGAUCUAGGGUGGGGACUCAGCAAAUGGCUAUAAAUGUUGGUCAUGCGGAUCCAGCUUUUGAAGGCGUGGCCUUGUCAGGUUUAGCCCCUACAAACCUGGAGUCCCACAGCACGCCUACCCAGCCAUCUUACUACCGCAGCUGGUAUUCCGGAAGCUUUUUCCCAAAUAGGAAAGAUAAUGCGACUUCUUUGCAAGAAGGGCAACUGGUUAGUACAGGAAACACCCACACUAAAAGUAAGGUUGGAAGUGCGAAGGCCGAGAAAGCACCAUCAAGUGAUUCUAAAAGCCCUUACAUCGCAAAGCCUCCUGCUAAGGGGCCGAACGGUCAACGACCUGCAAAUCGCAGUCAGCUCCAGCGCAAGAGAGCAGCUGCAGCCGCACAGAGAGCCAAAGUGGCGCAAACGAAGACAAGAAAGCCCGCCAGUCAGCAAACCAAGGCACGCCUUGAAGGCACCAGAAGCCAAGGCACGCCAAGCACCAAACACAACUCGCCUUAUAAGGCUCCCUAUGAAAGCAAUAGCGACGAUGAUGAGUUUAUAAAGAACAUCAGACGGAACAUGGAGUCUAUUACGCUUAGAACCACGCCUAGUCCCGCUGCCGAAGAGUACCGAAGAGUCAUGGAAUCCAUUAGUCGACCCAAAGCCAACACUCGUCUUGAGACACCCGACUCGCAGCGCUGCGAUGACGAUCAGAUUAGCGUGGACCAUGCUGCCGAGUUGAAAGCAAAGGGAACAGGAGCUGCUGUGAAGAUCCAUCCCCCAAGGAUAGCAUCCGCUAGGCCUAGGAUCCCAAGGCCUAGUCAGGCAAAUGUCAACACGCCUGGCGAGGUGAUACCACAGGGGAAACCCCCGGUACCCAUCGGCAGGCAUACGCAUGAGGUUUCUCCUCACGCGUUCCAUGACCAGUCCUCACCAUACUCAAACCAAAGCCUUGUAUACCAGCGUCACGGAGUCAACUCUCACGUCCCGAGUAACCAUACUAACGAGGGCUACUCUGGUAGCGAGAUGUAUGGAGCUCACGGCUGGACGAAUAACACAGCCUAUCCACCGUAUGGUCAGUCUACUAAACAAAGCAUCCGCCUUGAUAAGACCCCGACAGAUGACGAGAUCAAUGUUCUGUGGGACAGGGUACGACUGUGCCUUGACCACAAGGACUCCAAGUCAGUUGGAUCCGACUCCUGUGUCAACAGGGUCGACGUCCGACGAUCCAGGACCGCGUCUGGGCCCUUCCCUCAUACAGGGGAACGGGGAUCAAGGCCAGAUAAUGGUCAUUGCCAUACCACGCCCAGUAGCAAUGGUACAGUCGGGGGGCUGCGGAGGUAUGGGUCGUAUGAGGUGCUACGGCGGCACGGCUCGGCCGACAAUAUCGGGUACAGGAGACCUCUUCUGCAGCACAGAGCGCAAAGGGUCAGGACGUCAUCCCAGCAAUACCCCUCCCCGUCAUCCAGUCGGAAGGGUCCCGCCAACACUGUGUCUGCUCGAGCCGUUCAGCCAUUGUCACAGACUGAGGUGCGCGCUGUGCUACAUGCGUCCGAGCGAACACUGGAAGACCCUGGGCAUGCGCAAAGGGCUCAGUACCAGGCUCUCAUCGGCGGCCGAAGAGGCCCAAGUGCGCUGUCGAUAGAGGAACAGCGACUGAUGCAGUCCCUUGACCGGCUCAAUGAAAGACUCAAAGGUGAGCCCUAUGUAACAGGACUGCCGUCGCUACCAGUACUACUAAACGGCAUUGUCGGUACACAGAUCAACCUCGCUAAUCAGACCGCCAAGUGGCAAUAAACAUUUGUUUACAAGCAGCAAAGCUGAGUGAAGCGACCGGCAAAAACGAACACAGAACGCAGUCGGCCCAAGUAAGACAACAGGCUCAACCGAAGCAUCAGCGGUCAUCCUCGGCAACGACCAAAUAUAGAUAGCAUACCACGUGAAAUGAGUCCCAGUCUCUCCGAAAGAAUCCACCAAUCCGCUGCAUGGCUUUGGGAAAGUGCCAUGUGAAUCUCGUGGAAUCCGUCAAUGCUCGGCAUGAACAAAUAAGCGAUGCGGCUAUAGAUAUUGUAUAUGGUUUUUAGCGUGUAUGGAAAAAGACAAAAAGAGUCUUGCUCUAUUUCUAUGGAAAACGCAGAUUAUAUUAAAAGUGUGAAUAAAAGUAUAUUUGCAACAUU